rnacentral:rRNA from 1 species
UACCCAAUCCUGACACAGGGAGGUAGUGACAAUAAAUAACAAUGCGGGGCUCUUUCGAGUCUUGCAAUUGGAAUGAGUACAAUUUAAAUCCCUUAACGAGGAUCAAUUGGAGGGCAAGUCUGGUGCCAGCAGCCGCGGUAAUUCCAGCUCCAAUAGCGUAUAUUAAAGUUGUUGCAGUUAAAAAGCUCGUAGUUGGAUUUCUGGUGGGAGCACGGGUCGGCCCUCACGGGUUGUACUGUUGUUGCGUCCCGCCGUUUCGGAGGGAAUGGUCUCGCUAUUAAGUUAGCGUGAUCGGGAACUCUGUCGUUUACUGUGAAAAAAUUAAGUGUUCAAAGCAGGCCUUCGCUGUGAAUACAUUAGCAUGGAAUAAUAAGAUAGGACUGUAGUGCUAUUUUGUUGGUUUGCGUACUAUGGUAAUGAUUAAUAGGGAUAGUUGGGGGUAUUCAUAUUCAAUUGUCAGAGGUGAAAUUCUUGGAUUUAUGGAAGAUGAACUACUGCGAAAGCAUUUACCAAGGAUGUUUUCAUUAAUCAAGAACGAAAGUUAGGGGA